rnacentral:rRNA from 1 species
CAGCCGCCGCGGUAAUACCGGCGGCCCGAGUGGCGGCCACUAUUAUUGGGCCUAAAGCGUCCGUAGCCGGGCUGGUAAGUCCCCCGGGAAAUCUGGCGGCUUAACCGUCAGAAUUCCGGGGGAUACUGCCAGCCUAGGGACCGGGAGAGGCCGGGGGUAUUCCCGGGGUAGGGGUGAAAUCCUGUAAUCCCGGGAGGACCACCUGUGGCGAAGGCGCCCGGCUGGAACGGGUCCGACGGUGAGGGACGAAGGCCAGGGGAGCGAACCGGAUUAGAUACCCGGGUAGUCUUGGCGGUAAACGAUGCGGACUUUGUGUCGGACAAGCUAUGAGCUUGUCCGGUGCCGGAGGGAAACCGUUAAGUCCGCCGCCUGGGGAGUACGGCCGCAAGGCUGAAACUUAAAGGAAUUGGCGGG